AUUUUUAGGGAUAAACGUUAAUGUUUUAGACGAGUCUCCUAAAUUUUAGGGACUAAUGUCAUUUUUAACGUGUCUCCUAUUUUUAGGGACC
rnacentral:pre_miRNA from 13 species